rnacentral:rRNA from 1 species
UUGUCCCUACGGGAGGCAGCAGUGGGGGAUAUUGCACAAUGGGGGAAACCCUGAUGCAGCGACGCCGCGUGAGUGAAGAAGUAUUUCGGUAUGUAAAGCUCUAUCAGCAGGGAAGAAAAUGACAGUACCUGACCAAGAAGCCCCGGCUAACUACGUGCCAGCAGCCGCGGUAAUACGUAGGGGGCAAGCGUUAUCCGGAUUUACUGGGUGUAAAGGGAGUGUAGACGGCGAAGCAAGUCUGAAGUGAAAACCCAGGGCUCAACCCUGGGACUGCUUUGGAAACUGUUUUGCUAGAGUGUCGGAGG